rnacentral:rRNA from 1 species
GUGAGGAAUUUUCCGCAAUGGGCGAAAGCCUGACGGAGCAAUGCCGCGUGAAGGAUGAAGGCCUAUGGGUUGUAAACUUCUUUUCUCAGAAAAGAAUUAUGACGGUAUCUGAGGAAUAAGCAUCGGCUAACUCUGUGCCAGCAGCCGCGGUAAGACAGAGGAUGCAAGCGUUAUCCGGAAUGAUUGGGCGUAAAGCGUCUGUAGGUUGUUUAAAAAGUAUUCUGUCAAAGAUUAGGGCUUAACCCUAGAGAGGCAGAAUAAACUUUUAAGCUAGAGUUUGGUAGAGGCAGAGGGAAUUCCCGGUGGAGCGGUGAAAUGCGUAGAUAUCGGGAGGAACACCAAAGGCGAAGGCACUCUGCUGGGCCAAUACUAACACUGAGAGACGAAAGCGAGGGGAGCAAAUGGGAUUAGAAACCCGUGUAGUCC